rnacentral:rRNA from 1 species
AUGGAGCAGUUCCAGGACGGCCACCACGUCCGACUGCGGAGCCGCGAGCACGGCAUGUACCUGCACGCCGACAAGGACGGCCGUGGCGUCUCCCUCCGCCGGCACCGGGCGUCGAUGAACGCGGCGUGGGCGGUGCACCUGUUCCAAGGCGAUGACGGUUUCCAGUACGUGCUCCUCCACAGCGCCGCCUACGGCGGCUACCUGACGGCCAUGGACGCACCGGCGCCGCUAGGCCACUCCGGGCGCCGCGUCGAGCAGCGCGACUACGAGGAACGGGAGGAGGAGGAUGUCAGGUGGCAGCCCGUCAGGUUCGGGACCGGGGACUACAUCCUGCUCCGCCACGCCAGCGGCCGCUUCCUCCGCGCCAACGGGAAGUACCUCCCCUGGAACAACGGCGCCAGCGUCGACGACUUCGACACCGUCAGCACGAUGACGCACUGGGUCGUGGAGCGCAUCCCCGCCAGGGAGGGCAUUCCUGAGCUCCCCCUCGCCGGAGGCCUCGACGUCCUGUUGCCGCGGCGGUGGGUCGUGUACGCUUCGGCGGGCGCCGAUGGGGGCCCCGCCUUCUGGGCUGCGUUGGGGUUCAAGGGGAGGUCUGUGUUCCGCCUGAGGAGCGAGCUGGCCAGCGAGAUAGGCAUCGGCAUGGGCGACCUCGUCAUGUGCGUCCAGGCGGGCACUAACGGGCGGCCUACCCCACUCGUCGUCAACCUACCCCGCGGCACGCGGACCCUUUACAUCGUCGUCGUCCCAGCCAACGUCGAGCUGCGGUACCCGGAUGUCGGUGCAGAGUAG